UACAGAAGGUGCGAGCGUUAAUCGGAAUUACUGGGCGUAAAGGGCGCGUAGGCGGCCUCUGCAAGUCGACUGUGAAAUCUCCGGGCUUAACCCGGAAAGGUCAGCCGAUACUGCAGGGCUAGAGUGCAGAAGGGGCAACUGGAAUUCUCGGUGUAGCGGUGAAAUGCGUAGAUAUCGAGAGGAACACCUGCGGCGAAGGCGGGUUGCUGGGCUGACACGUGACGCUGAGGCGCGAAAGCGUAGGGGAGCGAACGGG
rnacentral:rRNA from 1 species